rnacentral:rRNA from 1 species
UACGUAGGGGGCCAGCGUUGUCCGGAUUCAUUGGGCGUAAAGCGCGUGUAGGCGGCUGGGUAGGUCUGAUGUGAAAACUCGAGGCUCAACCUCGAGACGUCGUCGGAAACCACCCGGCUAGAGUCCGGAAGAGGAGAGCGGAAUUCCUGGUGUAGCGGUGAAAUGCGCAGAUAUCAGGAAGAACACCAAUGGCGAAGGCAGCUCUCUGGGACGGUACUGACGCUGAGACGCGAAAGCGUGGGGAGCGAACAGG